GAACAUCCCUCCCUUGGGUUUGCCAGUUUCAUCUUUGAAAUUGACAAAUGAAUCCAAGUAUGGCGAACCCAGUCAUGGCCAUUAGCUUGACCUCAUUCUCCAUCCUCACAUCAAGAAAGUUAAGGGAGGAGUAAAAGAAAUUAGUCUAUGAGCAAGGAGAGGCAGUGAGGUAUAUGGAAGCUGGAAUGCACGAAUGUCUCAAAAUCAUCCUAGACAGGAGUGUUAUUAAUUUGGUAAUAGGAGCUACACACCACUGGAGACACUGAAGGGCUAAUACUGGGGCUUUUGGACAGAUCUUUGAAGACUAACAGCACAACUGC
rnacentral:lncRNA from 1 species